rnacentral:lncRNA from 1 species
CCUAUUGCUAAACAUGCUCCAUAAAGGCUAUUUCUUUCAUCAUUGGUAGCUCUCAAUAUCCAUCCAUGGUUGGUGUCAAUUGACUACUUAUCUUUCUUAUAAAUCUUUCUAGAUAAGAUGUUUGAUCUCAAAGCCAUGAUCCAUCAAUGAUAGGAUUGAUUCUUCAAGGCCUCCAAUCUUUAUAUGUAUCUCUAUAUAUGUCAAAGCUUCACCAUUAUUCCUCUAUAGCUUAUUAACCUCACACUCAGACACCUUGGCCUCCAUUGUGGCUCCUUCUUCAUGGUUCUUGUUAGUAUUUGCUUCCACCUUCAUAUUAGUUACUCUAUCAUUUACAAACAUUUGUAGUACUUUGUCUCUGAUUUCAUCACAUAAAUCUUCUUUUAUAAUUUGAA